rnacentral:rRNA from 1 species
UUUUUCCACCGGAGCUUGCUCCACCGGAAAAGAGGAGUGGCGAACGGGUGAGUAACACGUGGGUAACCUGCCCAUCAGAAGGGGAUAACACUUGGAAACAGGUGCUAAUACCGUAUAACAAUCGAAACCGCAUGGUUUUGAUUUGAAAGGCGCUUUCGGGUGUCGCUGAUGGAUGGACCCGCGGUGCAUUAGCUAGUUGGUGAGGUAACGGCUCACCAAGGCGACGAUGCAUAGCCGACCUGAGAGGGUGAUCGGCCACAUUGGGACUGAGACACGGCCCAAACUCCUACGGGAGGCAGCAGUAGGGAAUCUUCGGCAAUGGACGAAAGUCUGACCGAGCAACGCCGCGUGAGUGAAGAAGGUUUUCGGAUCGUAAAACUCUGUUGUUAGAGAAGAACAAGGAUGAGAGUAACUGUUCAUCCCUUGACGGUAUCUAACCAGAAAGCCACGGCUAACUACGUGCCAGCAGCCGCGGUAAUACGUAGGUGGCAAGCGUUGUCCGGAUUUAUUGGGCGUAAAGCGAGCGCAGGCGGUUUCUUAAGUCUGAUGUGAAAGCCCCCGGCUCAACCGGGGAGGGUCAUUGGAAACUGGGAGACUUGAGUGCAGAAGAGGAGAGUGGAAUUCCAUGUGUAGCGGUGAAAUG